ensembl:lncRNA
UACACAUGCAGUGCUAUGCAUGUGUAUACAUAUAAGAACUUGAGAACUGAAGUGUGUGGACUCCGAAGUGCGAUUGCGUCACAGCGUCAUGACGUAAGCUGUCCCAAAGUCAGAAUGCACCCUUCGAAGACCGCAUUCCAAGGGCUAUUGCGUCACCGCAGAGUGAUGACAGCUGACAUAUUUCAAAAGUGAACCAUCCGUUUCCCAGGAAAAUGAAGUGUACAUGUGAUGGACACUUCGCACCCUACCAUAUCCCAGACUCACUUGACUCACAAUGACGACGGUGUUUAUAUUCAAAGAACAUGGCGGGUGAGAGUUCUGUGGGGGAAUUCACAUUGAAAUUAAGUAUUCUGUUUCAAUUUACUCAAAUACCUAGCAAAAGUGUUAAAAGCCAGGGUUUUUGUUUAACACAAAGCCCACAAACAAUAAGACAACCACUAUUUAUGUACUGUCCUGGAGAAAAUGAGCCAACUGGAGAAAGACUUCAAAAAAUACAAACAAGUGUCCUGGGACAGGUGAGGGAGUCAGAGGAAGCUGGUGGAGCUACUCACAGUUGACAUCUAACUCCAGAGAGAGACAGAGAAGAGAAGAGCACGAGAGCAAGGAGAGACUGUUUUCUCUUCUUAAGAGAAUGCUUAACAAAUACAUUAUUUAUUAGCCAAGAGAAAGCAGUGGAAAAAAUGGGUAACAUUACAUUUUUUUUAAUAUCUUUUUUUAAAUGUCACAUUGUUAAUGAAACAACCUAAUUUCUGUAGUUUAUUUUUGUUAAAAAUUAAAUGAAUAAUUUGUAUACACUACAAAAAUGAAUAAUGUAA